UACGGAGGGGGCAAGCGUUGUUCGGAAUUACUGGGCGUAAAGGGCGCGUAGGCGGCCUGUUAAGUCGAACGUGAAAUCCCCGGGCUCAACCCGGGAACUGCGUCCGAUACUGGCAGGCUUGAAUCCGGGAGAGGGAUGCGGAAUUCCAGGUGUAGCGGUGAAAUGUGUAGAUAUCUGGAGGAACACCGGUGGCGAAGGCGGCAUCCUGGACCGGCAUUGACGCUGAGGCGCGAAAGCCAGGGGAGCAAACGGG
rnacentral:rRNA from 1 species